AGCGAACGCUGGCGGCAGGCCUAAUACAUGCAAGUCGAACGGCUCUUCGGAGCAGUGGCGGACGGGUGAGUAACGCGUGGGAAUGUGCCCUUAGGUACGGAACAACACAGGGAAACUUGUGCUAAUACCGUAUGUGCCCUUCGGGGGAAAGAUUUAUCGCCUUUGGAGCAGCCCGCGUUGGAUUAGGUAGUUGGUGAGGUAAAGGCCCACCAAGCCGACGAUCCAUAGCUGGUCUGAGAGGAUGACCAGCCACACUGGGACUGAGACACGGCCCAGACUCCUACGGGAGGCAGCAGUAGGGAAUCUUGCGCAAUGGGCGAAAGCCUGACGCAGCCAUGCCGCGUGUAUGAUGAAGGUCUUAGGAUUGUAAAAUACUUUCACCGGGGAAGAUAAUGACGGUACCCGGAGAAGAAGCCCCGGCUAACUUCGUGCCAGCCGCCGCGGUAAGAC
rnacentral:rRNA from 1 species